GCUCCUCCUCCCGCCGAGGCUGUGCACCGCAGACAGCGCGAGGGGGAGCGAGCGAGCGGGCGCGGCCGGGAUCCGCAGCCCUGGCGCCCGCCGUCGCUCGCAGCCCCGCAAUAUGCCUCCGUGGCUCUCUGGCUCUUCGCCAUGGCGAGGCUCUGCCGGCGCGUCUCUUGCGCCCUGCUCCUCGGCCUGGCCGCGGUGCUGCUGAAGGCGCGGCUCGUCCCC
rnacentral:lncRNA from 1 species